AAGUCGUAACAAGGUUUCCGUAGGUGAACCUGCGGAAGGAUCAUUAACACGUAUCCAAACGUUAAACCCCCCUGUGAACCUUCAGUGUACUCGUACGUCCGUUAGAAAAAGCAGCAAUCCCUGGUAAAUCAUCGCCGAACAGUUUUCGAUUCAGGGACGUCUGCAAGGAGCGUGCAUGUUGUGCGAAGCAAGUGGCCUGGCAUCCCCAAGCAGUUAGUGUCUGAAAGUGUCAUUAACUGUGUAAGGAUGACGCAGUCGCGAUCGUUGGAGGCCCACACGGCCGACGACCGGGUCACUGGGCGCAAGCCCCCCUAUAACAAACGCUGCCAAUCGCGGCCGCGAUAAUACGCAGUCGACAAAAAACCGAACAACUGUUAACAAUGGAUAUCUUGGUUCUG
rnacentral:misc_RNA from 1 species